GGCCUGUUAGCUCAGCUGGUUAGAGCUGGUGCUAAUAACGCCAAGGUCGUGGGUUCGAUCCCCACAUGGGCCA
rnacentral:tRNA from 1 species